UCGAGCGUCAUUACAACCCUCAAGCUCUGCUUGGUAUUAGGCUUCACCUAUUAGGUGGGCCGUAAAAUCAGUGGCGGUGCCAUUCGGCUUCAAGCGUAGUAAUUUUUCUCGCUUUGGAGAACCGGGUGUUGUGCCUGCCAGCAACCCCAAUUUUAUCACAGGUUGACCUCGGAUCAGGUAGGGAUACCCGCUGAACUUAA
rnacentral:misc_RNA from 1 species